rnacentral:rRNA from 1 species
UACGGAGGGUGCGAGCGUUGUCCGGAAUCAUUGGGCGUAAAGGGCGCGUAGGUGGCCCGGUCAGUUCGUGGUGAAAGCGCGGGGCUCAACCCUGCGUCGGCCAUGAAUACUGCCGCGGCUGGAGCACUGUAGAGGCAGGCGGAAUUCCGGGUGUAGCGGUGGAAUGCGUAGAGAUCCGGAAGAACACCGGUGGCGAAGGCGGCCUGCUGGGCAGUUAGCUGACACUGAGGCGCGACAGCGUGGGGAGCAACAGGAUAGAUACCGGA